AGGAUAAUAGUUAAUUAUAACAUUUGAUUUGCAUUCAGAAAGUGUUGAUUUACUCAACUUAUCUUA
rnacentral:tRNA from 1 species